rnacentral:lncRNA from 1 species
GGAAAGAAAGGUCCUUCCUCCGUGAGUGGUAGCGUCUGUCGAAUAAAGCGUAGGCAACCUAGGUUUGAGGGUUGGCCGACAGGCUGUUGCUAUUUCCAAAUGGCGUAGCGUUGGUGGACCGAACGACCCUGUGGCGAAAGUGGCCCUGCGGAUAAGAAAUACAUGCAUACUUGCUCGUAAUUCAUAGGUUUCCUUGAGGUCUCUGCAGUGGCCUGAGUCGAAGCAACAUCGGUGGUGGCUUACCUCCGUCUGGCGCGGCUACUUCACAACACUGGCAAAUUUGAGGUGCAGAUGGAAGUGUGCCCUGUUUGUAAGAAUGGAGGCUUUUUGCUGCCCGAUAGUAGCCCCAUAUGAACAAAGGUCUACAUAUGCUGGUACAACCUGCUUGAUGUAUAACGGAACACAGUGUCAUUCUUACCUCAUUACCCGGGCCAACAAGCUGAUGGUGUGAUGCUCCCCAGCAUCCUCUUCAGUCGCGUCGUAAGCAUGCAGCAUCGCAACGGUCUCAUUUGCCGAAUCCUUCGUGUUUACAGAUUGACGAUGUAGCAGAGGACACAGCAAACAUGAUUGCGCUAGCGUGAUGAUGAUGAUGAUGCUGCGGGCAACGGCUGCGAGGACAGUCUCGGUGGUCCCGACGCUUGCCUGAGAACUUAGCCUCUUGUGACGGUUACGUAUGGUUGACGUCAUUUCCUGUCUGAGAGGAAUCCUUGGGCUGCCAACGGCCUACCCGAAAAGCGAAAAUCGAAGAGGCUUACUGUUCGGUGUGAGUGUUUCACAAAAAGGACAAGCUAUAGCAUAUGAACACAAGACAAAGAAAAUAUUCAGUGUAUGUGCUGAUGGCGAAAAGUGCAAUUGCACACCGACAAGACAAAGACAGACAUACUACAUCAAGAUGACCUGCAUCAGGACAAAUUGGAGACAAGACAGAGUGUCCAUUUUAUAGCUGCAUUUAUUUUGCACCCUAUGUACACAAAUUUAACUACCUCUCGCUUGUUUACUGUGAAAAUCUGCUAUUGGCAUGCGAUUCAGUUCUUGGUCUCUCCUUCUAAGUAGAGAGCUGACUGUUUCUUUUUAAUUGCAGUUGCCAGAAAACUAAGCGACUAUAUGAAGCAGUUCUGUCACGUAUGGAUAAUCUCCUGCUUUUGUGGAUAGGGAUAUAAGCCAUACUGGCUGAUUUGGAGUCCAUAGAAUAAACUUGUAGGUGCUAUGCGGAAGAAAAAAAAGACGAGUUGUGAAUAAAUAUUAGGUCAAAGUAAGCAAAAGGAUUUAAAUUUGUGAGUUUCAAUACUUAAGAAAGGCAGGAAAAAUGGUUUACACAAAGAUUAUUACAAAAACAAUGCUUGUAGGCUUUAUAUGGUGCUGACUUUUAUAUUACACUGAUCAAGAGGCGUAGGAAAUAAUGCAUGAUGAUACUACAAAGCUUUUUUUUAACAGUGAAUUGAAUGAAAAUGCACUUGGAUGAUUGUGUUAAAAAUUGCUCAACUGUCAUAGUUAAGCUAGUAUUUUUGUAUAUAAGACAGUUGCGUGUGUGACUUGGUUAUAAAUUAAUUUUAAAAUUUAGGCCCAUUAGAGGAUUGUUGACACGAAUUUUGCAAAUUUUCGUAUUGUUGCUUUGAAUAAAAACAUUGUUGAUGAUUCU